AACAAAGCGAUGAUAAGGACAAGUAAGCUUCGCGGCGGGCUUCAGAGAACCGGUGGCUGGUGAGAACCGGUGCUUCCUGCGAUGACUGAAUGGACCUUGGAGUGCGGAGCCGAACCGAGGAGUAGGCUUUGCCGUAAGUCCUGCGUUAAAGGAAGAGAGGUUCGCAAACGGCCCCAUUGCAUGUAGGGGCUAGACAGCUACAGUCUGUCCUGCUACGACAGAGCAGGCCAAGCGCGAACGAAUAAGGGUGGCACCACGGUCUUUCGUCCCUUUC
rfam:Paenibacillus dendritiformis C454 PDENDC1000010, whole genome shotgun sequence.